UGUAAAUUUCGAAGCUUGGACGAAACCGAGCCACAAAUCUAUUUCAGCGGGACAUGGCGAGAGAGAUGUGGGGAGGACUGCGCCUAGCCGCCAUUCCAGAGUUAUCGUUCGUCCCUGUUUGCCGGCGACAUAGCGCUGUUCCGGCGGCCGUGCGAUCUCGACGCCUGGGGAUUGACAAUGGCAGCAAGUACUGGGACAAGUUCUACAAACACCACCAAAAUAAGUUCUUCAAGGACCGCCAUUACUUGGAAAAGGACUGGGGACAAUACUUCCGCUGCGAUGAUGAGAAUACUACAUUACCGCACGGGAAGGUCGUUUUGGAGGUUGGUUGUGGAGCCGGAAAUACUAUUUUUCCCCUCGUUGCCAGAUAUCCUAAACUUUUUGUUCAUGCCUGUGACUUCUCGACCCAUGCUAUCAAACUUCUUACGUCACACGUGGAUUUCAAUGAAGAACAAGUAAAUGCAUUUGUUUGUGAUGUAGUGGAGGAUGAUCUUUGUGACAAAGUGAUGCCUUCUUCUGUUGAUGUUGCAACCUUGAUUUUUAUGUUGUCUGCAGUUUGUCCAAAAAAGAUGCAUAUGAUAUUGCAGAAUAUCAGGAAAGUAUUAAAGCCUGAGGGUUAUAUUCUCGUACGUGAUUAUGCAAUAGGAGAUUAUGCUCAAAUGGAGCUGCAAAAGAGGAAUCAAUUGAUCAGUGAGAACUUCUAUGUUAGAGGAGAUGGUACUUGUGCUUAUUUCUUCUCGGAAGAUUUUUUAUCAGCCUUGUUUGCAAGUGUUGGCUUCAGCAUCAUAAAUAUGGAGAUAUACAGCAGGAAAAUUCAGAAUCGAUCUCAGAACGUAACCAUGUCUAGAUGUCCAAUGGAUUAACACAAUUUGCAAAGCACGGAUAUAGACACGCAGUAUGAAUAUGACAUGACAUGGCAGGAACAUGCAGAUAUGUCAAUUUCCAAAAAAAUUGCAGAUGUCAAACAUGCCAUUCAGAAAACGAUCACAUCCCAUGAAAAAUGGUAAAACAAGCUGAAGCAAAAAGAAGAGGGAAAGAAGAAUUAAAGGGAUGGGAAAGAUGAAAAGAGAAGGAGGUUUUCAAUACUAUUUUGCUAUUUUAUUAUCACCUCUAGAAGAGGUUUCCAAAUUUGCAUUAGAAUGCAAAUGUGUUGAACAAAUGCCCUUUUUCAGGGCCAAUGUUUUCCUAGCAUAAAGAGAGCAUACCGUAUACAUGUACAAUUUAUGUCACACACUGUCCAUCUGCAUUAUCCAUAUGUUGUGUGGUACCUCUAAAUUGCCCUUGGUCAUAUGUUUGUGCUUCUUGAACAAUUUAAUUUUUUUGUUAAUUAAUUAUACAAGAAUAUAUUUUUAAUAGAAAACCUUAUUGUGCAUAGAUCUUUUUUGUUAUGCGUGUUCUUUUAGAAGAAUAAGAAACAACAAUGCCCACCAAGCCUUAAUCCCAAUAGGUGUGACAUUUAGAAGAAUAAAUAUAAACAUUUAGUGGGAUGGUUGGGAUUGCUACAUUUGUUGUUCAGUUGUUCUUUGAAAUGAAAGUAUUCCAUGUCAUAAAACUUGCAUAUCACAUUGUGAUUUGCUGUGAUAUGAGGUUUCUUGACGACACAUAUUUUAUAGUAAUUUAAUUUUACAGUUAUAAUCGUUAAAAGAAAAGUACAGCUAAAGAUAAUGUUGACUGCAACAACAAUAGACUAGUCAAAAGAUUACGCUUACUAGGUGGAGUUGAUUACAUGGACCCUAGGUUACCCAUCAUCUCUAUCUAUAUUAUAUCUAAGAGUUUCCUACUAAGUUUUUCUUGAUCUUCCUCAACUCAUUUUUGCCAAGAACUUCUUAUCAGUUUCUCUCAAGAUAGUUUUGAUGUUCUAAAAGAUAAAAAUUGGCAAACUCAGCCUCUCUGACAAUCUUAAAACUUGCAUCUGAUUCACGCCACUCAUUCUAUCAACUUUCUAUUCAUCAAAGCUGCUGCUUUUAAGGAUCUAACUUAUCUAUUUGAGUGCCAUUUGACCAUUAAUUAUUUU